rnacentral:rRNA from 1 species
UACGGAGGGUGCAAGCGUUAUCCGGAUUCACUGGGUUUAAAGGGUGCGUAGGCGGAUAGGGAAGUCCGUGGUGAAAUCCUGCAGCUUAACUGCAGAACUGCCGUGGAUACUCUCUAUCUUGAAUAUCGUGGAGGUAAGCGGAAUAUGUCAUGUAGCGGUGAAAUGCUUAGAGAUCGGGAGGAACAUCUGUGGCGAAGGCGGCCAUCUGGACCAGCACUGACACUGAGGCACGAAAGCGUGGGGAGCAAACAGG